CGCUAGCAUACUAAGUAACACCAACACAAUGUUACCCGCCAGAGAACUACAAGCGAAAGCUAGAAACUCCAAGGACUUGGCGGUGCUCCAAAUCAACCUAGAGGAGCCUGUCCUAUAAUCGAUACCCCACGUUAAACCCUACCAUUUUUUGCAUUUCAGCCUAUAUACCGCCAUCUUCAGCAAACA
rnacentral:rRNA from 1 species